AGGAGACUGGAGAGCUACAUACAGUCCACGGAGUCACAAAGAGUCGGACACAACUGAGCGUGCACACGUGCAUGCACCACAUUUGCUUAUUCAUUCACCUGUUGACGGACACCUGGGUGGUGUCCACCUUUCAGCAGUUAAGAAUAAUGCUGCCGUGAACAUGGGUGUUCAAAUACCUCUUCAGGAUCCUGCUUCUAACUCUUUUGGGCAUAUACCCAGGGUUUGGGAAUCACAUGGCCGGAGAAUUUCUAAAGACCCUUGCAGCUGUGACAUAUGACUUCAGUGAUUAAGAGACUAACCUGGAGUCUGACUGAUUUCAGUUAAAUUCCUGGUUGCCAGUCACCAGCACCACCUCAGUUUCAUCCCGUAAAGGAGGGUAAUGGCGCCUACCCCAGGACUCCUGCAUGAAUCGUCCGCUCCUUCAGCCUGACUGUUCUUCUCGCAGUGGGUGGGUUCCUGUCGCCUCCUGGUGAAGAGGGACUUAGAACUUUCCCACAGACGAGGAAAUUGAGACUUAGAGAAGCAAACUUCCCAUAAACGAUCUGGGCCCAGGCGUUCCACUUGCCCCAGGUUCAUAGGUGCACCGGGGGAUGACCGUGCCACGUGACAGCCCCAGCCUGGAGCAGGAGACCUGGUUCUACCACUGAGAGUUACUCAUCACACACCGUGGGCCCUGGAGAGACAGCUGUGAACAGAAUAGACAAAGUCCCUGGCCUCAGGGAGUUUUUCUUCAUAGCUCCUGUGACAUCAUUCAGAGACGUGUGGGGAACUACCCAGUGGGGAGAUAGUAUCCUCAUUUCUCGAAGGCCUCUUGGAGACGGUGCUGGGCUGAGUGGUUCUCAGAGUCAGCCUGAACACCGGAGGCAGCUGGAGUUUCCCGGUUUCUGAAAAGCCCACCUGAAUGGAUCCUUUCACGAUACAAAUGUAUUUUGCCAGAUUGAGAAACUGAAGCUCAGGGCAAUAGGCUCUAAGCAAGGGGGAUAACUUCCCCAAGGUCACCCCGCUGGGA
ensembl:lncRNA